GACGAAGGUGGCGAGCGUUGUUCGGAAUCACUGGGCAUAAAGCGCACGUAGGCGGCGACGUAAGUUGGGUGUGAAAUCCCUCGGCCCAACCGAGGAACUGCGCCCAGUACUGCGUUGCUUGAGGAUCCAAGGGGUGCAUGGAAUUCCCGGUGGAGCGGUGAAAUGCGUCGAUAUCGGGAGGAACUCCGGCGGCGAAAGCGGUGCACUGGUGGAUUACUGACGCUGAGGUGCGAAAGCCAGGGGAGCAAACGGG
rnacentral:rRNA from 1 species